GUUGAGUCUGAAUGUUGGAUGUUGUGUAUCUCGUGUUCUCUGGGCUUUGUUGUCCUCAGUCUUUUGCAGGAUCAGAAAACAAAACCAGGAUGACCAUAAAUGUUUCUUCUCCAAUUGGAUGAUGAUAAGACUGUGACACGGGAUGCCACCUUUAGUCUUGUGAUGAAGCAAAGCUCAGGAAGAAGUGUGAUUAAAUGGUACCCACAUGUGUGCUGCUGAGAAGGAUGUACAGGGGCACCUGCAGCCAAAUCCAAGCCUCCUCAGCAACUUCAGGUCUGUCAGCAUGCUGAGGUCACAGAAACAAGAAAAGAAGCUUGACACUUCAGAGUGUUGUUUACAGUUUUCUGACAUCAUGAUCUCCCCUGAAGUUUAUCACUAUUAGGCAAGCAAGCAGAGCAGCAGUUUGUGCUCACAGAUGGUGACGGUGUGGAGAGACGGUGGUGUUUCCUCAGAAGAACUAGCAGAGUCACAAAGGGCACGAGUCCAUCUCACCACCUUGACUUGUUGAUCAACGAUCAGAGUCAUCCUUAAAUAUGGGCAGGAUAUCACUAUUGGACUGUCUAACCUGCAGGAGCAGCACUGAAUGACCACCACACAUGAUCAGUUCCUGCAACAUUCAGCAGCUCUGCUUUUGUGUCAAAUGUCGAACAGCUGGAGAGGAAACUACACCAGUGUACUGGGAUGUUUCACCAACACGUGCCAGACGCUGUUCCUUCAUGGUGACAUCACCAGAGACGGCCCCGCCCACCUCAGGACCUCGCCAUUGAUCAUGAUGAUUUUAAUGAUGACAGCGAGCGGAACUAAGACUGUAAAAAUCAGAAUGUUUAGAUGCUUUCUAAUUAUUCAUGAAUACUGAGAGCCUCUUUCUGUGUUUUGUCUGUUUUGUUUUUUACCUCAUUUGUUACUAACAAAGUUCACCAAACUCACACAGUUUACAUUCUGUAUGUUUCCAUCUUUACCAGCCACAGUCUACCCGCAAUU
ensembl:lncRNA